UGCCAGUCCAGGGGCAGCGGGAUUGAAGCUUGCUUCCAUUGCCGGCGACCGGCGCACGGGUGAGUAACACGUAUCCAACCUUCCGUUUACUCGGGGAUAGCCUUUCCAAAGAAAGAUUAAUACCCGAUAGUAUGGUGAGAUUGCGUGGUAACACCAUUAAAGAUUCAUCGGUAAACGAUGGGGAUGCGUUCCAUUAGGUAGUAGGCGGGGUAACGGCCCACCUAGCCUACGAUGGAUAGGGGUUCUGAGAGGAAGGUCCCCCACAUUGGAACUGAGACACGGUCCAAACUCCUACGGGAGGCAGCAGUGAGGAAUAUUGGUCAAUGGGCGAGAGCCUGAACCAGCCAAGUAGCGUGAAGGAUGAAGGUCCUACGGAUUGUAAACUUCUUUUAUAAGGGAAUAAAACGCUCCACGUGUGGAGCCUUGUAUGUACCUUAUGAAUAAGCAUCGGCUAACUCCGUGCCAGCAGCCGCGGUAAUACGGAGGAUGCGAGCGUUAUCCGGA
rnacentral:rRNA from 1 species